CCGCGGUAAUAUUGGACAAUGGGCGAAAGCCUGAUCCAGCGACGCCGCGUGAGGGAUGAAGGCCUUCGGGUUGUAAACCUCUGUUGUUAGGAAAGAAGCCGGGUGCAUAACCCGGUGACGGUACCUAACGAGGAAGCCCCGGCUAACUACGUG
rnacentral:rRNA from 1 species